rnacentral:RNase_P_RNA from 1 species
AGAGUCGACCGGGCAGCCGCUGUAUCGGAUGGCGCCUUGUUUAAGGUCCUUGUUUUGUACAGAGGAAAGUCCGGGCUCCAUAGGGCAGGGCGCCAGGUAACGCCUGGGGGAUGUAAAUCCACGGAAAGUGCCACAGAAAAUAUACCGCCUGUCGUUUGUAUUUUUCCCGUUAUUUUAGCGGGGAAGAUGAAGAUGGGUAAGGGUGAAAAGGUGCGGUAAGAGCGCACCGCGCCCCGGGUAAUCGGGGUGGCAGGGUAAACCCCACCUGGAGCAAGACCAAAUAGGGGGCAUGGUUUCUGCGUUGCAUGAAAUCAGGCGUGGCCCGCGUUGUCCCCGGGUAGGUCGCUGGAGGUAUGUAGUGAUGCAUAUCCAAGAUGAAUGGCUGUUCUCGACAGAACCCGGCUUAUAGGUUGGCUCUCGUC